rnacentral:rRNA from 1 species
UACGUAGGGUGCGAGCGUUGUCCGGAUUUAUUGGGCGUAAAGAGCUCGUAGGCGGUUUGUCGCGUCGGCCGUGAAAUCUCCACGCUUAACGUGGAGCGUGCGGUCGAUACGGGCAGACUUGAGUUCGGUAGGGGAGACUGGAAUUCCUGGUGUAGCGGUGAAAUGCGCAGAUAUCAGGAGGAACACCGGUGGCGAAGGCGGGGUCUCUGGGCCGAAUACUGACGCUGGAGAAGCGAAAAGCAUGGGGAGCGAACAGG